rnacentral:rRNA from 1 species
CCGGCGACCGGCGCACGGGUGAGUAACACGUAUGCAACCUGGCCGUGACAGAUGGAUAACCGGGAGAAAUCCCGCCUAAUACAACAUAAUGCCGGGAGGGGACAUCCCCUGCCGGCCAAAGGGGGCGACCCCGGUCACGGAUGGGCAUGCGGCGCAUUAGGUAGUUGGUGGGGCAACGGCCCACCAAGCCGACGAUGCGUAGGGGUUCUGAGAGGAAGGUCCCCCACACUGGUACUGAGACACGGACCAGACUCCUACGGAAGGCAGCAG